rnacentral:rRNA from 1 species
GACGAACGCUGGCGGCGUGCUUAACACAUGCCAGUCGAACGAUGAAGCAAAGAAUCGAAGCUUCGGCAGAAAUUCAUUUCGGAUUAGUGGCAGACGGGUGAGUAACGCGUGAGCAACCUACCUCUUACAAAGGGAUAGCCUCGGGAAACCGGGAUUAAUACCAUAUAACAUUGUGACGAAGCAUUUCGAUGCAAUCAAAGCUACGGCGGUAAGAGAUGGGCUCGCGUCCCAUUAACCGGAUGGUGAGGUAACGGCUCACCAUAGUGACGAUGGGUAACCGGCCUGAGAGGGUGAACGGUCACACUGGAACUGAGACACGGUCCAGACUCCUACGGGAGGCAGCAGUGGGGAAUAUUGCACAAUGGAGGGAACUCUGAUGCAGCGACGCCGCGUGAGUGAUGAAGGAAUUCGUUUCGUAAAACUCUGUUCUAUGGGAAGAAAAGGACUGUACCAUAGGAGAAAGCGCCGGCUAAAUACGUG